rnacentral:rRNA from 1 species
AGUGAACGCUGGCGGUAGGCCUAACACAUGCAAGUCGAACGGCAGCACAGUAAGAGCUUGCUCUUACGGGUGGCGAGUGGCGGACGGGUGAGAAAUACAUCGGAAUCUACUUUUUCGUGGGGGAUAACGUAGGGAAACUUACGCUAAUACCGCAUACGACCUACGGGUGAAAGCAGGGGAUCUUCGGACCUUGCGCGAUUGAAUGAGCCGAUGCCGGAUUAGCUAGUUGGCGGGGUAAAGGCCCACCAAGGCGACGAUCCGUAGCUGGUCUGAGAGGAUGAUCAGCCACACUGGAACUGAGACACGGUCCAGACUCCUACGGGAGGCAGCAGUGGGGAAUAUUGGACAAUGGGCGCAAGCCUGAUCCAGCCAUACCGCGUGGGUGAAGAAGGCCUUCGGGUUGUAAAGCCCUUUUGUUGGGAAAGAAAAGCAGCAGGUUAAUACCCCGCUGUUCUGACGGUACCCAAAGAAUAAGCACCGGCUAACUUCGUG